CGGGUCCGGUGCAGCGAUCGCGGGUACCUUCGGGUGCGCGAGGAAAGUCCGAGCUCCACCGGGUAGACUGCCAGGUAACGCCUGGGCGCCGCGAGGCGACGGACAGGGCCACAGAAAACAGACCGCCAUCCGGGCAACCGGGUGGUAAGGGUGAAACGGUGGGGUAAGAGCCCACCGCGCUCCUGGCAACAGGAGUGGCACGGCAACCCCCAGUCGGAGCAAGGCCAAAUAGGCGGCGAGGUGUGACCCACACCGACAGGCCGGUUUUCGGACCGGCGAGCCGCGGGUAGGCCGCUCGAGGCGUCCGGCGACGGGCGUCCUAGACAGAUGAUCGCUCCCGCUCACGCGGGAACAGAACUCGGCUUACGGCCGGACCCGUUCU
rnacentral:RNase_P_RNA from 1 species